UACGAAGGGGGCUAGCGUUGUUCGGAAUUACUGGGCGUAAAGGGCGCGUAGGCGGUGCCUCAAGUCAGGCGUGAAAGCCCCGGGCUCAACCUGGGAACCGCGCUUGAGACUGGAGUACUAGAGUUCGGGAGAGGAUGGUGGAAUUCCCAGUGUAGAGGUGAAAUUCGUAGAUAUUGGGAAGAACACCGAUAGUGAAGACAGCUCACUAAGCUCAAACUGACGCUGAGGCACGAAAGUGUGGGGAUCAAACAGG
rnacentral:rRNA from 1 species